CAUAACUCAGGAGUGCUGUUUAUACCAGAUGAAUCUACAAAGCCAAGAACAGGAAUCACCGUAUCUCCUUCAGUAGACCUGAUACUAUAUGUCAUAACACUGUCAAUGCCUGGAGGAGAGUAAAAUUCUGACUCUGACCACCAAGCUGAUCUGCACAGAAGGGGAUACAUGAUUAUUCAAAGAAUGCUAGUUGAACCCAAAAUUUCAAACUGCAGCUACAUCUAUCUAAUGUUGUUUCCUCCACCUUCAGUUUUCUCAAGCAGCGUUGUUCUGACACAAACACUGUAACCACUUUUGUGAUAUUGAGCCUUACUCUGUGUGACUCCAGACUGAGCUGAGGUGUGCUUGAAAGAACAUGGGCUUUGAAGUCAAGUGCAUCUUGUCUGUGGUGUGUUUAACAAGUAUGCCCCUCUGAGACACAGCAUCCUUAUUUGUAAAAGAAGGAUAAUAGUGCCCACUUUUCAAGAUUACUGACAUGAGUAGAUUGAGUAGCAUAUGUAAAGUGCCUUUACAUAUAGGAUAUGUCUGUUAAAUGAAUGAUCAGUGUGAGAGUUUUCCCCUUAAAAUGCAAUUUGGGGAAUAGACAACAAAUAAUUACAUUGUACAUAACCUAAGAAUCUUGAUGAAUACUGAAUUUUGAAUUUUAAACGAGGAUCAAUUCAGUGGAUAGUAUUAAGUGACUCAAUGACUCUGCUACCUUAAGAGAAUUGGUGUACACCUUAGCUGUCUGCUUCACCACAAGGAGAGUAUCUGGAUAUGGAGCUUGGGUGGGCAGUUCACAAUGAAAUGGUUCUUAUUGGUGC